GCUCUCACGGGUUGAGGGUGAGCCACAUCUGCUCCAUUGCUGGCGCUUCCAUUACGCGCCAAGUGCUCUCUCUCUCUCUCUCUCUCUGACAUAUAAAGUGAAGAAUUGAUGGACGCUUCGUUUUGAGGAACUGCUACUUGGGGUAGUGGCCGUCUAUGCGUGGAGUUCUGUUUGAUUCGGGGGAGAUCAUGUCUCGUUUGAUUUACUCCAGAGUUGAUCUUUCAAGAUUAUGUACAAGGGCUGCAGCCAAAAAUGGGAGAUUUCUGUCGACAGAUUCUUGUACUAAGGUUGAUGAACCCUUCAAGGUUGAGGAAGGCGAAACUAUAAGUUCAACUCCACCUCCAACAGAGCAGUUACUUGUGUUGGGUGGUAACGGAUUUGUUGGUUCACAUGUUUGCAAAGAAGCAUUAGAACGGGGUUUUUCUGUUGCGAGCCUUAGCAGGUCUGGUAGGCCAUCUAUCAAUGGACCAUGGGUCAACAAUGUGGUCUGGCAUCAAGGAAACUUGUUUUCAGAUGAUUCAUGGAAGGAAGCAUUUUCUGGAGUUACUUCUGUUGUUUCCUGUGUUGGUGGUUUUGGCUCCAAUUCGUAUAUGUACAAGAUCAAUGGAACUGCAAAUAUCAAUGCAAUUAGAGCCGCUGCAGAUAAAGGAGUGAAAAGAUUUGUCUAUAUUUCUGCUGCUGACUUUGGCUGGUUAAAUUACUUGCUACAAGGAUAUUAUGAAGGAAAGAGAGCAGCUGAAACAGAGUUACAAACCAAAUUUCCUUAUGGAGGUGUAAUUCUCAGACCUGGAUUUAUUUAUGGAACUCGCCGUGUUGGGAGCAUGAAUUUACCACUUGGCGUCAUAGGUUCUCCACUAGAAAUGGUUCUUCAACAUGCCAAACCACUGAAUAAGGUUCCUGUUGUUGGUCCCCUGUUCACACCACCCGUCAAUGUUACUGCAGUUGCAAAGGUUGCUGUUAGAGCUGCAACCGAUCCUGUUUUUCCUCCUGGCAUUGUAGAUGUGCAUGGAAUCUUACGUUACAGCCAGCAGCAGAGUAAAUUCUGAUGAUUCUUUGUGUGUCAAGAAAGUAUUGUUUCUUACCAAAAAUUUCAUACUUCCAAAACAAUAAGGUGUAGAACUUGCAACUUCUUUACAUCGGCUUACCCAAUGUUCCUGGUUCAGCCCCAGAUGAGGGCCACAAAAAAUGAGUAGAAAUUGUCCUCCUGAGUUCGGUAACCAUUUUUGUCUGUGUCCAAUGAUGUUUUUGU